UACGUAGGGAGCAAGCGUUGUUCGGAAUUACUGGGCGUAAAGAGCGUGUAGGCGGUGCUCUAAGUUUGGUGUGAAAUCUCCCGGCUCAACUGGGAGGGUGCGCCGGAAACUGGAAUGCUUGAACGGGGGAGAGGAAAGCGGAAUUCCUGGUGUAGCGGUGAAAUGCGUAGAUAUCAGGAGGAACACCUGCGGUGUAGACGGCUUUCUGGACCAUUGUUGACGCUGAGACACGAAAGCGUGGGUAGCAAACAGG
rnacentral:rRNA from 1 species